GUAAAGGAAGUCCAAACCCGAGAUUUGCAUAAGCAUGUACCAGAAAAUGUUAAUGGAGCUCUUCAUUUCUCUAUUAAGGUUGGUAGAAUUGUGGGCCAAUCUGUAAAACCAAGAUUAGUGCUAUUGCAAGGCCUUUGCUACCUAGCCUAUGUUACUAUGCAGAAGGUUGGAUUUCAUGGAGCACAGGAUUGCCAUUUCAUAUUCAGAUUCACUUUGGUUUUCUUUAUUUUACUUUAUGUUUGCUAGCCCACCAAUGAGCUUAAAUAUAAUUUCAAUCCAUUGAUAUCGAACCAUACUAUUAUAUUGUUGUUUUGUUAUGAAAGUCUAAUAUCUAGCAACAAGCUUCUUCUUUUUUUCCUA